UGCCCAGCCAUGGGCUCAAGGAAGGAAUGAUGUAUUUCCAGCUGACUACAAGGCCCAGGAGCACCACAUUCACAAUUCACCCCCCUCAUACCACUCUGUGAAACGGAUGGAAGGAUGGAGGCUCAGAGGAUUGAGAAUACCUGGAAAGAAGGCUCUAGAACAGUAAGAUCCCAUUGGGAAAAAUGAAAGAAUAAGGAACUAAUUGUUCGUGGAUCAUAAAGAAGAAUUCUCUCUACUGCUCAAUAUCACCUUGGGGAAAUAAAAUAUACAAAUUCCA